GCUGCUAUGUCCGAGUGGUUAAGGAGUGAGACUUGAACGGCUAUCAUUGGCCUACUAGAUAUCUUAUGGCUUCGGCCGCAGAGGUUCGAACCCUCUUGGCAGCG